AAGCGGGGGAUCGCAAGACCUCGCGCCUAAAGAGGAGCCUGGGGGAUUACUUGUUGGUGAGGGUAAUGGUCACCAAGGAUCGAUCCGUACCGGCUGAAAGGCGGUCGGCAAUGACUGACAUAGGGUCAGACUCCUACGGGGAGGCAGCAGUCGGGAAUUUUGGGGCAAUGGGCGCAAGCCUGACCCAGCAACGCCGCGUGAAGGAUGAAAUCCCUCGGGAUGUAAACUUCGCAAGAACAGGAAGAAUAAGUGGGGGACAAUACCCCCCAUGAUGACGGUACUGUUUGUAAGCUCCGGCUAACUCCGUGCCAGCAGCCGCGGUAAUACGGGGGGAGCAAGCGUUGUUCGGAUUUUACUGGGCGUAAAGGGCGCCGUAGCGGGCG
rnacentral:rRNA from 1 species